GAGCUCAGCGGCAGAGCAUAUGCUUUGCCAUGCAGAAGGCCUGGCUUCAAACCCCAGCAUCUCCA